rnacentral:rRNA from 2 species
GCGAGCGCAGGCGGUUUUGUAAGUCUGCUGUGAAAGCCCUCAGCUCAACUGAGGAAGUGCAGUGGAAACUACAAAACUUGAGUACAGAAGAGGAAAGUGGAACUCCAUGUGUAGCGGUGAAAUGCGUAGAUAUAUGGAAGAACACCAGUGGCGAAGGCGGCUUUCUGGUCUGUUACUGACGCUGAGGCUCGAAAGCAUGGGUAGCGAACAGGAUUAGAUACCCUGGUAGUCCAUGCCGUAAACGAUGAAUACUAGGUGUUGGAGGGUUUCCGCCCUUCAGUGCCGCAGCUAACGCAUUAAGUAUUCCGCCUGGGGAGUACGACCGCAAGGUUGAAACUCAAAGGAAUUGACGGGGGCCCGCACAAGUGGUGGAGCAUGUGGUUUAAUUCGAUGCUACGCGAAGAACCUUACCAGCUCUUGACAUCUUCUGCCAACCCAAGAGAUUGGGCGUUCCCUUCGGGGACAGAAUGACAGGUGGUGCAUGGUUGUCGUCAGCUCGUGUCGUGAGAUGUUGGGUUAAGUCCCGCAACGAGCGCAACCCUUAUUAUUAGUUGCCAGCAUUUAGUUGGGCACUCUAGUGAGACUGCCGGUGAUAAACCGGAGGAAGGUGGGGACGACCUCAAAUCAUCAUGCCCCUUAUGAGCUGGGCUACACACGUGCUACAAUGGAUGGUACAACGAGUCACGAAACCGCGAGGUCAAGCUAAUCUCUUAAAGCCAUUCUCAGUUCGGAUUGCAGGCUGCAACUCGCCUGCAUGAAGUUGGAAUCACUAGUAAUCGUGGAUCAGCAUGCCACGGUGAAUACGUUCCCUGGCCUUGUACACACCGCCCUGUCACACCAUGAGAGUUUGUAACACCC